UUCUGGCUCAGGAUGAACGCUAGCGAUAGGCCUAACACAUGCAAGUCGAAGGGCAGCACAUGAGUAGCAAUACGAUGGUGGCGACCGGCGCACGGGUGAGUAACACGUAUGCAACCUACCUUUAACAGGGGAAUAACCCGUUGAAAAACGGACUAAUACUCCAUAACACAGGGGUCCCGCAUGGGAAUAUUUGUUAAAGAUUUAUCGGUUGAAGAUGGGCAUGCGUUCCAUUAGCUUGUUGGUGAGGUAACGGCUCACCAAGGCUACGAUGGAUAGGGGAACUGAGAGGUUUAUCCCCCACACUGGAACUGAGACACGGUCCAGACUCCUACGGGAGGCAGCAGUGAGGAAUAUUGGUCAAUGGAGGCAACUCUGAACCAGCCAAGUCGCGUGAAGGAUGAAGGUCUUAUGGAUUGUAAACUUCUUUUGCAAGGGAAUAAAGUGGGGGACGUGUCCUCCUUUGCAUGUACCUUGCGAAUAAGGAUCGGCUAACUCCGUGCCAGCCGCCGC
rnacentral:rRNA from 1 species